rnacentral:tRNA from 1 species
UUUUGUUAUAGAUAAGGAUUUUGAAAAUCUUUACAGAAAUAUUAUUUCAACAAAAAA